UCCGAAGAAUCCAGGUCCGAAUUUCUGAGU
rnacentral:piRNA from 1 species